rnacentral:rRNA from 1 species
UACGUAGGGGGCUAGCGUUAUCCGGAAUUACUGGGCGUAAAGGGUGCGUAGGUGGUUUCUUAAGUCAGAGGUGAAAGGCUACGGCUCAACCGUAGUAAGCCUUUGAAACUGGGGAACUUGAGUGCAGGAGAGGAGAGUGGGAUUCCUAGUGUAGCGGUGAAAUGCGUAGAUAUUAGGAGGAACACCAGUUGCGAAGGCGGCUCUCUGGACUGUAACUGACACUGAGGCACGAGAGCGUGGGGAGCAAACAGG